CUCGCGGUUACGCACUUCAGGUACCCCCGGCUCCCAUGGCUUGACGGGCGGUGUGUACAAGGCCCGGGAACGUAUUCACCGCGCCGUGGCUGAUGCGCGAUUACUAGCGAAUCCAGCUUCGUGGAGUCGGGUUGCAGACUCCAGUCCGAACUGAGAGAGGUUUUGGGGAUUGGCAUCCACUCGCGUGGUAGCGGCCCUCUGUACCCCCCAUUGUAACACGUGUGUAGCCCCGGACGUAAGGGCCGUGCUGAUUUGACGUCAUCCCCACCUUCCUCACAUCUUACGAUGGCAGUCUUGUCAGAGUCCUCAGCGGAACCUGUUAGUAACUGACAACAAGGGUUGCGCUCGUUAUGGCACUUAAGCCGACACCUCACGGCACGAGCUGACGACAACCAUGCAGCACCUUCACAGAUGCCUUGCGGCUUACGGCUUUCACCGUAAUUCAUCUGCAAUUUAAGCCCGGGUAAGGUUCCUCGCGUAUCAUCGAAUUAAACCACAUGUUCCUCCGCUUGUGCGGGCCCCCGUCAAUUCCUUUGAGUUUCACCGUUGCCGGCGUACUCCCCAGGUGGAAUACUUAACGCUUUCGCUUGGCCGCUUGCUGUAUAUCGCAAACAGCGAGUAUUCAUCGUUUACCGUGUGGACUACCAGGGUAUCUAAUCCUGUUUGAUACCCACACUUUCGAGCCUCAAUGUCAGUUGCAGCUUAGCAGGCUGCCUUCGCAAUCGGAGUUCUUCGUGAUAUCUAAGCAUUUCACCGCUACACCACGAAUUCCGCCUGCCUCAACUGCACUCAAGAUAUCCAGUAUCAACUGCAAUUUUACGGUUGAGCCGCAAACUUUCACAACUGACUUAAACAUCCAUCUACGCUCCCUUUAAACCCAAUAAAUCCGGAUAACGCUCGGAUCCUCCGUAUUACCGCGGCUGCUGGCACGGAGUUAGCCGAUCCUUAUUCAUAAAGUACAUGCAAACGGGUAUCCAUACCCGACUUUAUUCCUUUAUAAAAGAAGUUUACAACCCAUAGGGCAGUCAUCCUUCACGCUACUUGGCUGGUUCAGGCUCUCGCCCAUUGACCAAUAUUCCUCACUGCUGCCUCCCGUAGGAGUUUGGACCGUGUCUCAGUUCCAAUGUGGGGGACCUUCCUCUCAGAACCCCUAUCCAUCGAAGACUAGGUGGGCCGUUACCCCGCCUACUAUCUAAUGGAACGCAUCCCCAUCGUCUACCGGAAUACCUUUAAUCAUGUGAACAUGUGNACUCAUGAUGCCAUCUUGUAUUAAUCUUCCUUUCAGAAGGCU
rnacentral:rRNA from 1 species